GUCGAGGGGAAACGACAUCGAAAGCUUGCUUUUGAUGGGCGUCGACCGCCGUACGGGUGAGUAACGCGUAUCCAACCUGCCCACCACUUGGGGAUAACCUUGCGAAAGUAAGACUAAUACCCAAUGGUAUCUCUAGAAGGCAUCUGAAAGAGAUUAAAGAUUUAUCGGUGAUGGAUGGGGAUGCGUCUGAUUAGCUUGUUGGCGGGGUAACGGCCCACCAAGGCAACGAUCAGUAGGGGUUCUGAGAGGAAGGUCCCCCACAUUGGAACUGAGACACGGUCCAAACUCCUACGGGAGGCAGCAGUGAGGAAUAUUGGUCAAUGGACGAGAGUCUGAACCAGCCAAGUAGCGUGCAGGAUGACGGCCCUAUGGGUUGUAAACUGCUUUUAUAAGGGAAUAAAGUGAGCCUCGUGAGGCUUUUUGCAUGUACCUUAUGAAUAAGGACCGGCUAAUUCCGUGCCAGCAGCCGCGGUAAUACGGAAGGUCCGGGCGUUAUCCGGAUUUAUUGGGUUUAAGGGGAGCGUAGGCCGGAGAUUAAGCGUGUUGUGAAAUGUAGGCGCUCAACGUCUGCACUGCAGCGCGAACUGGUUUCCUUGAGUGCGCACAAAGUGGGCGGAAUUCGUGGUGUAGCGGUGAAAUGCUUAGAUAUCACGGAGAACUCCGAUUGCGAAGGCAGCUCACUGGAGCGCAACUGACGCUGAAGCUCGAAAGUGCGGGUAUC
rnacentral:rRNA from 1 species